AACGCACAUUGCGCCCGGUAGUAUUCUACCGGGCAUGCCUGUUCGAGCGUCAUUUCAACCCUCAAGCGCUGCUUGGUGUUGGGGCGCUGCCGCCGCGCGCGGCAGGCCCCCAAAUUCAUUGGCGAGCUCGCCAGGACCCCGAGCGCAGUAGUUUUCUCCUCGCUUUGGGCGGACUGGCGGCGCACUGCCGUUAAAGCCUCCCUGGGCCCGCCCCUCUCCGGGCGCGGUCCGGGGAAACCCACACAAAAGGUUGACCUCGGAUCAGGUAGGAAUACGCGCUGAACUUAA
rnacentral:misc_RNA from 1 species